GACAGAGGUGCCGAGCGUUAGGCGGAAUCACUGGGCUUAAAGCGUGUGUAGGCGGGUCGUUAAGUACCUUGUGAAAUCCCACGGCUUAACCGUGGAACUGCUCGGUAUACUGGCGAUCUUGAGACACCUAGGGGCGAGCGGAACAGGCGGUGGAGCGGUGAAAUGCGUAGAUAUCGCCUGGAACGCCGACGGUGAAAACAGCUCGCUGGGGGUGUUCUGACGCUGAGACACGAAAGCCAGGGGAGCGAACGGG
rnacentral:rRNA from 1 species